GCUAGGAAUAGGAGGAGUUAUUGUUAAUAAAUAGCCUGUGCAAACUAUGCUCAGGGCUCAUACCUUUUGAACACAAGUUCAGUGUGAGACCCGAUCGGUUUGUAAAUGAAAGACUUGUUACUUCCUGAAGACUUGUGUCCAUCUCUCUAUGUGUGGCUUCUGCGGUUUGUUCCUGUUAUUCCCCCGGUAACAAUGGGGGGUACUGUUUUACUUGUGAG